AGGGUUUGAUCCUGGCUCAGAACGAACGCUGGCGGUAUGGCUAAAACAUGCAAGUCGAACGGAAAGGCUUCAAUUGAUCCUUCGGGUGAAGUUGAAGUACUCGAGUGGCGAAAGGGCGAGGAAUAUAUAGGUAACGUACCUCUUACUUGAGGAUAGCUGCGGGAAACUGCAGGUAAUACUUUAUGAGACCACAGUAGCUUUGGCUACAGAGGUUAAAGUCGGGGACCCUUCGGGGCCUGGCGGUAAGAGAGCGGCCUAUAUCCUAUCAGGUUGUUGGUGAGGUAAUGGCUCACCAAGCCUACGACGGGUACCGGGACUGAGAGGUUGGCCCGGCGCAUUGGGACUGAGACACUGCCCAGACUCCUACGGGAGGCUGCAGUAACGAAUAUUGGACAAUGAGCGAAAGCUUGAUCCAGCAAUACCGCGUGCAGGAAGAAGCCCCUCGGGGUGUAAACUGCUGUCAGGGACUACCAAGCAAAGAGUGCUAAUAUCACUCCGCGUUGAGGAAUCCCACAGGAAGCCACGGCUAACUUCGUGCCAGCAGCCGCGGUAAGACGAAGGUGGCGAGCGUUGUUCGGAAUCACUGGGCUUAAAGAGCUCGUAGGCGGAUUAUCAAGCGUCAUGUGAAAGCCCUCGGCUCAACCGAGGAAUUGCUUGGCGAACUGAUAAUCUUGAGACAUGUAGGGGCAACUGGAACUCAUGGUGGAGCGGUGGAAUGCGUAGAUAUCAUGAGGAACGCCAGAGGCGAAGGCGAGUUGCUGGGCAUGUUCUGACGCUGAGGAGCGAAAGCGUGGGUAGCGAACGGGAUUAGAUACCCCGGUAGUCCACGCCCUAAACGAUGUCUACUAGGUAGAGGGUUCUCUGACGGAUUCUCUGUCGAAAUGAAAACGUUAAGUAGACCGCCUGGGGAGUACGGUCGCAAGGCUAAAACUCAAAGGAAUUGACGGGGGCUCACACAAGCGGUGGAGCAUGUUGCUUAAUUCGAUACAACGCGAAGAACCUUAUCCUGGGUUUGACAUAUACGGAUUAACUCUUGGAAACUUGAGCCACGCCCUUCGGGGUGGAACGUAUACAGGUGCUGCAUGGCUGUCGUCAGCUCGUGUCGUGAGAUGUAGGGUUAAGUCCCGUAACGAGCGAAACCCUUGUCGUUAGUUGCCAGCGAGUAAUGUCGGGGACUCUAACGAGACUGCCGGUGUUAAACCGGAGGAAGGUGGGGAUGACGUCAAGUCCUCAUGGCCUUUAUGCCCAGGGCUGCAAACGUGCUACAAUGGCGUGUACAAACCGACGCAAGACCGCGAGGUGGAGCAAAUCGGAAAAAGCACGCCCCAGUUCGGAUUGUAGUCUGCAACUCGACUACAUGAAGUCGGAAUCGCUAGUAAUCGUGUAUCAGCGUGACACGGUGAAUGAGUUCCUGAGCCUUGUACACACCGCCCGUCAAGUCAUGGAAGCUGGGAGCACCCGAAAUCGGAACAAUUCAGUUCUGCCGAAGGUGAGUUCGGUGACUGGGACUAAGUCGUAACAAGGUA
rnacentral:rRNA from 1 species